AUUGAACGCUGGCGGCAUGCCUUACACAUGCAAGUCGAACGGUAACGCGGGGCAACCUGGCGACGAGUGGCGAACAGGUGAGUAAUGUAUCGGAACGUGCCCAGUUGUGGGGGAUAACUGCCCGAAAGAGCAGCUAAUACCGCAUACGACCUGAGGGUGAAAGCGGGGGAUCGCAAGACCUCGCGCAAUUGGAGCGGCCGAUAUCAGAUUAGGUAGUUGGUGGGGUAAAGGCCCACCAAGCCAACGAUCUGUAGCUGGUCUGAGAGGACGACCAGCCACACUGGGACUGAGACACGGCCCAGACUCCUACGGGAGGCAGCAGUGGGGAAUUUUGGACAAUGGGCGCAAGCCUGAUCCAGCCAUGCCGCGUGCGGGAAGAAGGCCUUCGGGUUGUAAACCGCUUUUGUCAGGGAAGAAACGCUCUGGGUUAAUACCUCGGGGUAAUGACGGUACCUGAAGAAUAAGCACCGGCUAACUACGUGCCAGCCGCCGCCGUAAAAC
rnacentral:rRNA from 1 species